GAGGGUAUAGCACAAGUGGUAGAGUGCAUGCUUAGCAAGCAUGAUUCUUGGGUUCAAUCCCCAGUACCUCCU
rnacentral:tRNA from 1 species